rnacentral:rRNA from 1 species
AUUGAACGCUGGCGGCAGGCUUAACACAUGCAAGUCGAGCGGGGGAGGUUGCUUCGGUAACUGACCUAGCGGCGGACGGGUGAGUAAUGCUUAGGAAUCUGCCUAUUAGUGGGGGACAACAUUCCGAAAGGAAUGCUAAUACCGCAUACGCCCUACGGGGGAAAGCAGGGGAUCUUCGGACCUUGCGCUAAUAGAUGAGCCUAAGUCGGAUUAGCUAGUUGGUGGGGUAAAGGCCUACCAAGGCGACGAUCUGUAGCUGGUCUGAGAGGACGAUCAGCCACACUGGGACUGAGACACGGCCCAGACUCCUACGGGAGGCAGCAGUGGGGAAUCUUGCGCUAAUGCGGGAAACCGUGACGCAGCGACGCCGCGUGAGGGAAGAAGGCCUUCGGGUUGUAAACCUCUUUCAGGAGGGACGAAGCUACUCGGGUUAAUAGCCCAGAGGGUGACGGUACCUCCAGAAGGAAGCUCCGGCUAACUCCGUGCCAGCAGCCGCCGUAACAC